AGUCUUAUAGUCAAGGAUGACACUAAAUUGCAAAUUUAGGGGUGGAUAUUUUCUAAGGCUU
rnacentral:tRNA from 1 species